CUGAAGGAAAAUGAGAAAGAAGCCAGGAGAGGUGGGAGGAUCCAUGAGAACAGUAAAAAAUGACUGAAAGGAGAUGAACUAUCCCAAGAUGGUGGCUGAACCUCCCAAGAUACUACAGCAGUUUAAUAAGAUGUUAUGAAGUGGGCAAAGAGGGCAGGAAACUAGCAAUGAGAAUUCAGACAGAGGCAAUUCCACUCCUGAGCCAACUACUCAACCACUAUACCUUUAUUAUCUCUGAGUAGAAAUGGGAGACUAUGAUGGAAAUCAAGAUCCAAAACACCAAAGCUACGUAGAAGACAGCACCACACCAGUACCAGAAGGACUAUCUAAAGUGCUUGCCAACACCCAGGGAGCCGACCAGAGCAGAGUGCUCACUUUAUUAACAAUUCCUUUCCCGCAUGAGCUGGAAUCUAAUGGAGACAUCCAACACUGAAGAAAAGUCACCAGCUGGGUAGACAAUGUGCCCACACAUCAUGUCAUCCUUGACAC